rnacentral:rRNA from 1 species
UACGGAGGGUGCAAGCGUUGCUCGGAAUCACUGGGCGUAAAGCGACCGCAGGCGGUCUGACAAGUCGGAUGUGAAAGCCCUGGGCUCAACUCAGGAACAGCAUUCGAAACUGGCAGACUUGAGUACGGGAGAGGGGGGUGGAAUUCCUGGUGUAGGGGUGAAAUUCGUUGAUAUCAGGAGGAACACCGGCGGCGAAGGCGGCCCCCUGGCCCGCAACUGACGCUCAUGGUCGAAAGCGUGGGUAGCAAACAGG